rnacentral:rRNA from 1 species
GCAUACUGCUUUGAACAUCGACAUCUUGAACGCAUAUUGCGGCCAUGGGUUAGCCUGUGGCCACGCCUGUCCGAGGGUCGGCUUAUAAACUAUCACGACGCCCAAAAAGUCGUGGCUUGGGUUUUGCCAGCUGGCGUGAUCUCCUCUAUGAGUAAUCAUGUGAGGUGCCAGAUCUAUGGCGUUUCCCUAAUGUAUCCGGAUGCACCCUUGUCUUGGCAGAAAGCCGUGGUGAGGUGCAGUGGCGGAAUCGUGGUUUAAUAAUCGGGUUGGUACUCAGUUGUCAGUGUGUUCGGCGAUCCCCUAGUCGGCACACUCAUGAUUUCUGGGAUAAUUCCAUACCAGGCACGUUCCGUUACUGUUACUUUGUCAUUGGUUUGAUGCUGAACUUGGUCAUGUGUCUGAUGCUAUUUCAUAUAACGACGGUACCCUUCGUGGUCUGUCUUCCUGACCUCGGUUCAGACGUGAUUACCCGCUGAACUUAAGCAUAUCACUAAGCGGAGGAAAAGAAA